rnacentral:misc_RNA from 1 species
GAUGAAGAACGCAGCGAAAUGCGAUACGUAGUGUGAAUUGCAGAAUUCAGUGAAUCAUCGAAUCUUUGAACGCACAUUGCGCCCGCUGGUAUUCCGGCGGGCAUGCCUGUUCGAGCGUCAUUUCAACCCUCAAGCUCUCCGGAGUUUGGUGUUGGGGCGCCUGGGGCUUUUCGACCUCAGGGCCCUCAAGUCCAUCGGCGGGACCGCCAGGACACUGAGCGCAGUAGUAUUAUUUCGCUCGGUAGGAUCUUCCACGGCGGGUCGAUCUGGCCGCUAAACCCCCCAAUUCUCACCAAAGGUUGACCUCGUAUCAGGUAGGAAUACCCGCUGAACUUAAGCAUAUCAAUAAGCAGAGGA